rnacentral:snRNA from 1 species
GGCUGUGAGGGUGAUCUGGCUGCCGCAUCUGUCACCCCAUUGAUCGCCARGGUUGAUUUGGCUGAUUGAUGGCUAGGUGGCUGUCCCUUUACUCCCUUCCUGCUCCAUGUGCGUCCUACUUGUCUGCGUGCUUGAUUGAAGAGAAUGACUUUCACCGAUAGAGGACUGUUCUUCAGUCAAGUAGCUGCAUUCUCCUGCCAGAACCUCCAAACAAGCUCUUAAGAAUCAGGAAUGGGGUCAGGAGAUUUAGAUCAGGUGUCACC